rnacentral:rRNA from 1 species
GUGCCAGCAGCCGCGGUAAUACAGAGGCCUCGAGCGUUGCGCGGAAUCACUGGGCUUAAAGGGUGCGUAGGCGGAUGUGCAAGUGCCUUGUGAAAUCCCAGAGCUCAACUCUGGAACUGCUUGGUAGACUGCACGUCUUGAGGUCGGUAGAGGUCGCUGGAACGGUUGGUGGAGCGGUGAAAUGCGUAGAUAUCAACCGGAACGCCCAAGGUGAAGACAAGCGACUGGGCCGAAUCUGACGCUGAGGCACGAAAGCGUGGGGAUCAAACGGGAUUAGAAACCCUCGUAGUCC